GGAGGUAGUGACAAUAAAUCACAAUGCGGGACUUCAUGUCUUGCAAUUGAAUUGAGAACAAAGUACAACUCUUAUCGAUAAACUAUUGGAGGGCAAGUCUGGUGCCAGCAGCCGCGGUAAUUCCAGCUCCAAUAGCGUAUAUUAACGUUGUUGCAGUUAAAAAGCUCGUAGUUGAAGUGUGGAUGUGAUGGUCGUUCGGAUUCUUCUGAAUGUCCUGAAUCAUCCCCUUCCAGUGUUCACUGAUGGGUAUUAAUUUACUUGUGAGUGGGUAUUGGUCGUUUACUGUGAGAAAAUUAGAGUGUUCAAAGCAGACGUUUGUUUGAAUACAUUAGCAUGGAAUAAUAAUUGAAGGCUUUCGUGUUCGAUUUGAUUGGUUUGUUCAUGGAAGCAAGGUUAAAAGGAGCAGUUGGGGGUAUUCAUAUUCAAUAGUUAGAGGUGAAAUUCUCGGAUUUAUGGAAGAUGAACAAGUGCGAAAGCA
rnacentral:rRNA from 1 species